AUGUUCGGAGGAAGCUCCGGGCGGGAGAGCCGCGUCCACUCCUCUUUCCAGACUAUGAUGGGGCCCAGGGACCCCUCCCCUCCGACUGAGCCCCAUAGACCCCCUACUCAGGCCAGAAGGGGAAAGCUGAGCUCCUGCUGGCCCAGGCAUCAGAAUUCCUCAGGGAGGAAAAGUUGCCUAUCUGUUGGGUCAGAUUUCUGAAGACUGAUGAGGCCCAUUUUCUGACAAACGGCAAGAGUUUAGAAAGUACCAGUGACGUGCCUGAUAGAAUCUCACCACAAGAUGGAAGCCAACUCGUCAGAAGCCUGGAAAGCCCACCCAGCGUGGGACCUCUGUGGGUCCAGGAUCUUGGAAUGGUAUCCCAUGGUUCAAUCUUCUGGAUUCAACCACAUAAAUUUACCCCACCCAUGUCGUGGACCCAAGCUUCCUACCAUGUAUACUUAGCUUAAAUG
rnacentral:lncRNA from 1 species